AUUCGACAGCUAUUAACCAUAUUGAGCCUCACAGGGCUUAGCUCCCCACCCACCACUGAGGAGCUCGAUCGGAAACUACCAUUUACCCUGGGAAAAUGCCCUAGUGGCUUUUCAGAUUCUUCCAUCAAGAUGGGGCAUCUAUUUCUGUUCUUGAUUCUGAUCUUGUGACUUGUUUGGCCAAUGAAAUGUGAUAGGAGUUGUGGUGAGCCAGGAGCAAUCCUGCGCUCGAGAAGGCGUGCAUAUUUCCUUUCUCUGUCUUGGAUCCUUAUUUCCUCCAUGAAGUGUUGCCUAACCUACUGGAGGAUAAGAGACCAUGAGGAAUGCCGUCCAAUAGCCAGCUACCCAGCCUUUCCCCGGGCAGAGUUGCAGUUAACUACGGAUGCCUGAAGGAGUUCAGCUCCUUCUGAGAUCAGGAGGACCAUCCAGCUGAAUUCAGGCCUAAAUCCAACCUGCAGAACUGUGAGCUAAACAAAUGAUUAUUGUUUUUAACCACUAAAUGUCAGGAUGAUUUAGUAUGUAGAAACAGCUAACUGAUCCACAGACUGAGAGAAUAACCACUCCACACUGGACCAGAAGGACCAGAUGUAUUCAAGAAUAGUGAUAUCAUUAAAGAAGCUAAUGCGUUCUUCUGAAGGCAGUGGGGUGAGUUGGGACAAAGGCUUGAGGCUUCUUAUUGUAAACCUGGUGAAAAUACUCGAUGUGAGCUGUGGGUAUGGGU
ensembl:lncRNA